rnacentral:rRNA from 1 species
UACAGGGGGUGCAACCGUUGCUCGGAAUUAUUGGGCGUAAAGCGCACGUAGGCGGUUCGUUAUGUCGGAUGUGAAAGCCCUUGGCUCAACUGAGGAAGUGCAUCCGAAACUGGCGAGCUAGAGUAUGUAAGAGGGUCGCGGAAUUCCCGGUGUAGAGGUGAAAUUCGUAGAUAUCGGGAGGAACACCGGUGGCGAAGGCGGCGACCUGGGACAAUACUGACGCUGAGGUGCGAAAGCGUGGGGAGCAAACAGG